rnacentral:pre_miRNA from 2 species
AGAGGGAUUGCUGGGUCAUAUGGUAACUCUAUUCUUAAUUUUUUGAGUAACUUCCAGACUGUUUUCCAUAGUUGCUGUACCAAUUUACCUUCCCACCAGCAGU